AUGGCGGAGCAAGAGCAAAGAAAAAUUCCUUUGGUUCCAGAAAAUCUCCUGAAAAAGAGGAAGGCUUAUCAAGCCCUCAAAGCCAUUCAGGCAACUCAGGCACUUUUGGCAAAGGAGGAGCAGAGGAAAGAAAAAGGGCUCAGGUUUAAGUGACUGGAAUUUUUUCUACAUGAUUCCUGGUGGCAGAAACGUGACAAGGUGCAUCUCAGACAACUAGAAGUGAAACCUCAUGCCUUGGAAUUGCCAGAUAAACAUUCCUUGGCCUUUCUCUUGGCCUUUGUUAUACUCCUUGAAAGGAUUAAUGGUGUGAGUUACCUGUGCAGAGAACCAUUGCAAGACUUCACCUGAAGAAAAUUUUUAGUGGUGUCUUUGUAAAAGUUACCCGCUAGAACCUAAAAAUGCUGCAUAUAGUGGAACCUUAUGUGACCCGGGGAUUUCCAAAUGUGAAGUUUGUCCGGGAUCUCAUUCUGAAAUGUCGACAAGCCACAGUCAAGAAUAAGGCCAUCCCUCUGACAGACAACACAGUGAUUGAGGAGUACCUGGGGAAAUUUGGUGUCAUUUGCUUGGAAGAGCUCAUUCAUGAAAUUGCCUUGUCCGGGAAGUAUUUCCAGGAGAUCUUAUGGUUCUUGCACCCUUUCCACCUCUUGGUGGCCUGUCCACUGCCAAGAAUAGAAU
rnacentral:lncRNA from 1 species